ACCGUUGAAAAGUUAGCGGAUGACCUGUGGAUCGGAGUGAAAGGCUAAUCAAGCUCGGAGAUAGCUGGUUCUCCUCGAAAGCUAUUUAGGUAGCGCCUCAUGUAUCACUGUAGGGGGUAGAGCACUGUUUCGGCUAGGGGGUCAUCCCGACUUACCAAACCGAUGCAAACUCCGAAUACCUACAAGUGCCGAGCAUGGGAGACACACGGCGGGUGCUAACGUCCGUCGUGAAAAGGGAAACAACCCAGACCGUCAGCUAAGGUCCCAAAGUUAUGGUUAAGUGGGAAACGAUGUGGGAAGGCUUAGACAGCUAGGAGGUUGGCUUAGAAGCAGCCACCCUUUAAAGAAAGCGUAAUAGCUCACUAGUCGAGUCGGCCUGCGCGGAAGAUGUAACGGGGCUCAAACCAUACACCGAAGCUACGGGUAUCACGUAAGUGAUGCGGUAGAGGAGCGUUCUGUAAGCCUGUGAAGGUGAGUUGAGAAGCUUGCUGGAGGUAUCAGAAGUGCGAAUGCUGACAUGAGUAACGACAAUGGGUGUGAAAAACACCCACGCCGAAAGACCAAGGUUUCCUGCGCAACGUUAAUCGACGCAGGGUUAGUCGGUCCCUAAGGCGAGGCUGAAAAGCGUAGUCGAUGGAAAACAGGUUAAUAUUCCUGUACUUCUGGUUAUUGCGAUGGAGGGACGGAGAAGGCUAGGCCAGCUUGGCGUUGGUUGUCCAAGUUUAAGGUGGUAGGCUGAGAUCUUAGGUAAAUCCGGGAUCUUAAGGCCGAGAGCUGAUGACGAGUCAUCUUUUAGAUGACGAAGUGGUUGAUGCCAUGCUUCCAAGAAAAGCUUCUAAGCUUCAGGUAACCAGGAACCGUACCCCAAACCGACACAGGUGGUUGGGUAGAGAAUACCAAGGCGCUUGAGAGAACUCGGGUGAAGGAACUAGGCAAAAUGGCACCGUAACUUCGGGAGAAGGUGCGCCGGUGAGGGUGAAGGACUUGCUCCGUAAGCUCAUGCCGGUCGAAGAUACCAGGCCGCUGCGACUGUUUAUUAAAAACACAGCACUCUGCAAACACGAAAGUGGACGUAUAGGGUGUGACGCCUGCCCGGUGCCGGAAGGUUAAUUGAUGGGGUUAGCUAACGCGAAGCUCUUGAUCGAAGCCCCGGUAAACGGCGGCCGUAACUAUAACGGUCCUAAGGUAGCGAAAUUCCUUGUCGGGUAAGUUCCGACCUGCACGAAUGGCGUAACGAUGGCGGCGCUGUCUCCACCCGAGACUCAGUGAAAUUGAAAUCGCUGUGAAGAUGCAGUGUAUCCGCGGCUAGACGGAAAGACCCCGUGAACCUUUACUAUAGCUUUGCACUGGACUUUGAAUUUGCUUGUGUAGGAUAGGUGGGAGGCUUUGAAGCGUGGACGCCAGUCUGCGUGGAGCCAACCUUGAAAUACCACCCUGGCAACUUUGAGGUUCUAACUCAGGUCCGUUAUCCGGAUCGAGGACAGUGUAUGGUGGGUAGUUUGACUGGGGCGGUCUCCUCCUAAAGAGUAACGGAGGAGUACGAAGGUGCGCUCAGACCGGUCGGAAAUCGGUCGUAGAGUAUAAAGGCAAAAGCGCGCUUGACUGCGAGACAGACACGUCGAGCAGGUACGAAAGUAGGUCUUAGUGAUCCGGUGGUUCUGUAUGGAAGGGCCAUCGCUCAACGGAUAAAAGGUACUCCGGGGAUAACAGGCUGAUACCGCCCAAGAGUUCAUAUCGACGGCGGUGUUUGGCACCUCGAUGUCGGCUCAUCACAUCCUGGGGCUGAAGCCGGUCCCAAGGGUAUGGCUGUUCGCCAUUUAAAGUGGUACGCGAGCUGGGUUUAGAACGUCGUGAGACAGUUCGGUCCCUAUCUGCCGUGGACGUUUGAGAUUUGAGAGGGGCUGCUCCUAGUACGAGAGGACCGGAGUGGACGAACCUCUGGUGUUCCGGUUGUCACGCCAGUGGCAUUGCCGGGUAGCUAUGUUCGGAAUAGAUAACCGCUGAAAGCAUCUAAGCGGGAAACUAGCCUCAAGAUGAGAUCUCACUGGAACCUUGA
rnacentral:rRNA from 1 species